rnacentral:rRNA from 1 species
AUUGAACGCUGGCGGCAGGCCUAACACAUGCAAGUCGAGCGAGCGGCGGACGGGUGAGUAAUGUCUGGGAAACUGCCUGAUGGAGGGGGGUAACUACUGGAAACGGUAGCUAAUACCGCAUACAAUCAGAUAUGCCCAGAUGGGAUUAGCGAGUAGGUGGGGUAAUGGCUCACUUUGGCGACGAUCCCUAGAUGGUCUGAGAGGAUGACCAGCCACACUGUAACGGAGACCCGUUCCAGAUUCCGACGGUAGGUAGCAGUGGGGAAUAUUGCACAAGGGGUACAAGCCUGAUGCAGCCAUGCAGCGUGUGUGAAGAAGGCCUUCGGUUUGUAAAGCACUUUCAGCGGGGAGGCUUUACCCGCAGAAGAAGCACCGGCUAACUCCGUGCCAGCAGCCGCGUUAAUUC